UCACCCCAUUCAGUGCUGCUGUGGUAGAAAUGCUUACCAGAAAGCUCUCUGGAGGAAAAAAGAAAGGGAGGAAGGAGAAAAUAGCAAGGAAACUGGCCGCGCUGUGUAGGCUCUGCUAAAUUCCUCAUUAGUUGUUCUUUCCAUGGCUAGCCUCAAGUCAGCAGCAUCAGGUGGUGGAAUGUGGUGUCCAGAAGAGAUAUCCAGUCUCCGGGUUUUUUCUAGUCAUUUCCUGGGAAGACACGGCUGAUGGAAGUCAUCUUAAGAGCAUGCAAACCAUGGACGAUAGCAAAGAUAACCAGGAGAGGGUGGUGUCAAUGCUGGUGUCAUGGUCACUGGCUUUGAGAGCAGCAGGAACUCUAACCUGCCAACUCUUAUUUCAUAAGUGCUGGAAGCGAUCCAGGUGGAUGCAUCCCGGAUGCUAAGGAAUUCCUCGGUCUGAGACAUUUUGUUGAGGAGGUCGUCCUAGGAGAAACAGUGUUAUCAUCGAAAACCAACAACUCACUUCAAGAUCACAGUAAAAAUAAAAACAGUGAGGACAAAACAAUGUUACUAACUGCUUCCCAGAGACUGUUUCUUACUGAAGAGCUACUAUGGCAAUGAAAAGGAGUUAGAAAUGUGUCAAAGCUGAAUUGUCUUUAACAUAACAAACCUGCUACAGAAAUGGAAAAGUGGCCGAUCUCCACCAUGUGAUUUCAUGUUGCUCAAAGAUGUGACCCG
ensembl:lncRNA AABR07006685.1